rnacentral:rRNA from 1 species
GAGGAAAGAGCUCAAAGUUGGAACCUGUUUGGCUUAGCUAAACCGGAUUGUAAACUGUAGAAGUGUUUUCCAGACACGCCUGGUAAAAAAGUCCUUUGGAACAGGGCAUCAUAGAGGGUGAGAAUCCCGUCUUUGGCCAGAGCUGUUGUCUUUUGUGAUACAUUUUCAAAGAGUCAGGUUGUUUGGGAAUGCAGCCUAAAUUGGGUGGUAAAUCUCACCUAAAGCUAAAUAUUUGCGAGAGACCGAUAGCGAACAAGUACCGUGAGGGAAAGAUGAAAAGAACUUUGAAAAGAGAGUUAAACAGUAUGUGAAAUUGUUAAAAGGGAACCGUUUGGAGCCAGACUGGCUUGACUGUAAUCAAUCUAGGCUUCGGCCUGGAUGCACUUGCGGUUUAUGCCUGCCAACGACAAUUUUUUUUGAGGGAAAAAACUAUUUGGAAUGUGGCCCUCCCUCGGGGGGGUGUUAUAGCCUUUUAGAAAAUACCUUGAAUUGGAUUGAGGAACGCAGUGAAUGCCUUUAGGCAAGAUUGCUGGGCGCUUUCGCUAAUAAAUGCUAGAAUUUCUGCUUCGGGUGGUGCUAGUGUUUAAAGGAGAAACUCGUCUGGUAUAU